rnacentral:tRNA from 1 species
CAGGGGUUAGUUUAAUUUAGAAUAUUAGUUUUGGGGAUUUGUGGAGUGUGAGAGCACCUCUGA